CUCUGCGGGAUGGCUCAGUCGGUAGAACAAGAGACACUUAAUCUUAGGGUUGUGGGUUCGAGUUCCACGUUGGAGA